rnacentral:rRNA from 1 species
AACAACCUCAAAAGCUUGCUUUUGAUGGGCGUCGACCGGCGCACGGGUGAGUAACGCGUAUCCAACCUGCCCACCACUUGGGGAUAACCUUGCGAAAGUAAGACUAAUACCCAAUGACGUCUCUAGAAGACAUCUGAAGGAGAUUAAAGAUUUAUCGGUGAUGGAUGGGGAUGCGUCUGAUUAGCUUGUUGGCGGGGUAACGGCCCACCAAGGCGACGAUCAGUAGGGGUUCUGAGAGGAAGGUCCCCCACAUUGGAACUGAGACACGGUCCAAACUCCUACGGGAGGCAGCAGUGAGGAAUAUUGGUCAAUGGGCGAGAGCCUGAACCAGCCAAGUAGCGUGCAGGAUGACGGCCCUAUGGGUUGUAAACUGCUUUUAUAAGGGAAUAAAGUGAGUCUCGUGAGACUUUUUGCAUGUACCUUAUGAAUAAGGACCGGCUAAUUCCGUGCCAGCAGCCGCGGUAAUACGGGAGGUCCGGGCGUUAUCCGGAUUUAUUGGGUUUAAAGGGAGCGUAGGCCGGAGAUUAAGCGUGUUGUGAAAUGUAGACGCUCAACGUCUGCACUGCAGCGCGAACUGGUUUCCUUGAGUACGCACAAAGUGGGCGGAAUUCGUGGUGUAGCGGUGAAAUGCUUA